AGGUAGAAGACAUAGUCACUAGCCAAACAGAACAUGGACAAGUCUUUGGUUAAGCUAGGUUUCUUCGUCGUCCUCUUGGUUUUUGCUUCAGUUUUGCAGUGUGAAGCUAAAGAAGAUUCAGACGCAGAAAUUGAUCUGGUUAUACCUUGCUAUGGUCAUUAUGAAUGCCCUGACUGUCCUUGCAUUAACAAUCGCUGCCGAUGUGAUCUAAAUAUGGAAGCAGAAGAAGAAGAAGAUCAAAAGCUCGAGACUCUAUUGCAUGCACACAUGUUCAAAAAGAAUUCCCAUGACAAUAAUAAUUAACUAAUCAGUGUCAUGAAUUUGUGAAUUAAAUUAUUAAAUAAAUGCCAUAGUUGAUUUUAUGCGUGGGAAA